GGGAGAGGAGACCCAGCCUUGGGAUUUCCAGCUCUCUCCACUUGGUGAUCGGCACUGAACACAGGAGACUCACCAUGGAGUUUGUACUGAGCUGGGUUUUCCUUGUUGCAAUUUUAAAAGGUGUCCAGUGUGAGGUGCAACUGGUGCAGUCUGGGGGAGGCUUGGUCCAGCCUGGCGGGUCCCUGAGACUCUCCUGUGCAGCCUCUGGAUUCACCUUCAGUGACUAUGCUAUGCACUGGGUCCGCCAGGCUUCUGGGAAAGGACUGGAGUGGGUUGGACGUAUUAGAAGCAAAUCUAACAAUUACGAGACAGGAUACGAUGCGUCGGUGAAAGGCAGGUUCACCAUCUCCAGAGAUGAUUCAAAGAACACGGCGUAUCUGCAAAUGAGCAGCCUGAAAACCGAGGACACGGCCGUGUAUUACUGUACUAGGGACACAGUGAGGGAAGGUCAGUGUGAGCCCAGACACAAACCCCCCUGCAGGGGCGCGCGGGGCCACCAGGGGGCGCUCGGGACCCACUGAGGACGCGCAGGUCCCAGGAGCAGGUGCAGGGGGAGGUUUCCUUUGUCCUCAACUGGAAUGUCAUGUAUUCUUCCAGAGUUUCAUUAACAUCUAUUGCUGUCAGCAACUACAAAGCUAUGAGAGCUUAAAUUUACACCUGUAG